rnacentral:rRNA from 1 species
AUUGAACGCUGGCGGCAUGCCUUACACAUGCAAGUCGAACGGUAACAGGUCUUCGGAUGCUGACGAGUGGCGAACGGGUGAGUAAUACAUCGGAACGUGCCUAGUAGCGGGGGAUAACUACUCGAAAUAGUGGCUAAUACCGCAUGAGAUCUACGGAUGAAAGCAGGGGAUCGAAAGACCUUGUGCUACUAGAGCGGCCGAUGGCAGAUUAGGUAGUUGGUGGGAUAAAAGCUUACCAAGCCGACGAUCUGUAGCUGGUCUGAGAGGACGAUCAGCCACACUGGGACUGAGACACGGCCCAGACUCCUACGGGAGGCAGCAGUGGGGAAUUUUGGACAAUGGGCGAAAGCCUGAUCCAGCAAUGCCGCGUGCAGGAUGAAGGCCUUCGGGUUGUAAACUGCUUUUGUGCGGAACGAAAAGCCCUGGGUUAAUACCCUGGGGUCAUGACGGUACCGUAAGAAUAAGCACCGGCUAACUACGUGCCAGCAGCCGCAGUAAAAC